GUUAAAGUAGCUUAAUUGAUAAAGCAACUGAUUUGUAAUCAGUAGAUUAUGAGUUUAAUUCUCAUCUUUAGCU
rnacentral:tRNA from 1 species